rnacentral:rRNA from 1 species
GAUGAACGCUGGCGGCGUGCCUAACGCAUGCAAGUCGAGCGAUCUUCUUCGGAAGAGAGCGGCGGACGGGUGAGUAACGCGUGGGUAACCUGCCUCAUACACAUGGAUAACAUACCGAAAGGUAUGCUAAUACAAGAUGAUAUAAGAGAUUCGCAUGGAUUUCUUAUCAAAGCUCCGGCGGUAUGAGAUGGACCCGCGUCUGAUUAGCUAGUUGGUAAGGUAAUGGCUUACCAAGGCGACGAUCAGUAGCCGACCUGAGAGGGUGAUCGGCCACAUUGGAACUGAGACACGGUCCAAACUCCUACGGGAGGCAGCAGUGGGGAAUAUUGCACAAUGGGCGAAAGCCUGAUGCAGCAACGCCGCGUGAGCGAUGAAGGCCUUCGGGUCGUAAAGCUCUGUCCUCAAGGAAGAUAAUGACGGUACUUGAGGAGGAAGCCCCGGCUAACUACGUGCCAGCCGCCGCGGUAAGAC